UUUCCAUCACGAUCGCUCACAACUUUUGUAAAAUUAUCUGGAGCGAUCUUCAUUUCUCGUUGCUCAUCGCAAAGCACUUUCAAACUUAGCAACUUUAUCAUUUGAUCAAUCUUGUCCUCAGUAUUCUUUUCCGCAUUUUCUAAAUCUUCCAUCUCGUUUGCACUCGGGCACGACGUUCCUGGUACAGCUUCUUCCUUCUCUCUCUCUUUCCAGUGCAACGGCGGCGGUGUUUGCAUCAUUUUGCGGCUCUUUUCGACUUGUGUCUGUGUACCCGACGCGUCCCUCUAGUACUGGCGGUGGCGAUUGACCAUGCCCGAACUACUGAUUUGGCUGGUUCCUACAUGGGUACUUUCCGGACUAACCCUAUGGUAAACGAACGCCGAACCACUCAAAGAAGAGACAAAAAAUGUUGCUCUGUAUACUCUACAACCCACCGCGCACCAGCCACCGAACUAGUUCGGUUGGGAUGCAACGUCUCACCAGUAGACGAAAAAACGAAAAAGCAUGAGAGGAAAAUGAAGAGAGCAGGUAGCUAAAAAUGAUGCUGAUCUGCUCUUCUCCUUUCCCUUUUCUGUUUUCGGUAAUUUCAUUGCUAGAAUGUUCUUUGCGUUUGGCGUUUGUGCAAAUCAGUGCGGCUGUCCAAGUGAUUAUAAUUAUUGAAUUUUAAACAGUUAUUCAAAGCAAAUGUAUAGCAAACGGCAUUUGCGUAGGCUCAAUAAAGAAAUAUAAGACAAAUAUGCAGCCAAACAUAAUCGUGCUAGCGGAGAAACAGUGUCGUGCAGUGAAAUAGAAAAAGUUGAAGGCCGCGAAAUAGGAGAGACAAUCGACGAAAAUGAAACAAAUGGAAAGUGACACUGAAAAAUUUAAAGAACUUCUUUAGAGUUUUGAUUGAUGCCAUAACUGUAGGUACGGGGACUGGAUCAGCUGAAGUCCAGAUUAGGAAAGCCCUACAGCUGCAAAAAAAACGUUUUUUCAAAAAACAGUACCACCGCGAACAGCAGACCUUAAUUAGUAAAUUUAAAAACUUAAAUGAAAUAUGUAUAUAAUAAAAUAAAAAUUUAAAUAUGAAAUUAAA